rnacentral:rRNA from 1 species
UACAGAGGGUGCAAGCGUUAAUCGGAUUGACUGGGCGUAAAGGGCGCGUAGGUGGACGUAUAAGUAGAUUGUGAAAUCCCCGGGCUUAACCUUGGGUGGUCAAUCUAAACGGUACGUCUUGAGUGGAGUAGAGGGAAGUAGAAUUUCCGGUGUAGCGGUGAAAUGCGUAGAUAUCGGAAAGAAUACCGGUGGCGAAGGCGUCUUCCUGGACUCAAACUGACACUGAGGCGCGAAAGCAUGGGGAUCAAAC